UACGGAGGGCGCAAGCGUUGUUCGGAAUCACUGGGCGUAAAGCGCGUGUAGGCGGUUCGGCAAGUCGGCUGUGAAAGCCCGAGGCUCAACCUCGGAACUACAGCCGAAACUGCCGGGCUCGAGUCCCGGAGAGGGUGGAGGAAUUUCCGGUGUAGAGGUGAAAUUCGUAGAUAUCGGAAGGAACACCAGAGGCGAAGGCGGCCACCUGGACGGUGACUUAUGCUGAGACGCGACAGCGUGGGGAGUAAACAGG
rnacentral:rRNA from 1 species